rnacentral:rRNA from 1 species
GAUGAACGCUGGCGGCGUGCCUAAUACAUGCAAGUCGAGCGAACAGACGAGGAGCUUGCUCCUCUGACGUUAGCGGCGGACGGGUGAGUAACACGUGGAUAACCUACCUAUAAGACUGGGAUAACUUCGGGAAACCGGAGCUAAUACCGGAUAAUAUAUUGAACCGCAUGGUUCAAUAGUGAAAGACGGUUUUGCUGUCACUUAUAGAUGGAUCCGCGCCGCAUUAGCUAGUUGGUAAGGUAACGGCUUACCAAGGCAACGAUGCGUAGCCGACCUGAGAGGGUGAUCGGCGACACUGGAACUGAGACACGGUCAAGACACCUACGGGAGGCAGCAGAAGGGAAUCUACCGCAAUGGGCGAAAGCCUGACGGAGCAACGCCGCGUGAGUGAUGAAGGUCUUCGGAUCGUAAAACUCUGUUAGUAGGGAAGAACAAAUGUGUAAGUAACUAUGCACGUCUGGACGGUACCUAAUCAGAAAGCCACGGCUAACUACGUG